UACGUGAGGGGCGAACGUUGUUCGGUGUCACUGGGCUUAAAGGGCGCGUAGGUGGCUGCGUAAGUAAGGUGUGAAAGCCCUCGGCUUACCCGGGGAAUUGCGCCUUAUACUGCGUGGCUUGAGGAUUUCAGGGGAAGGGGGAACUCCAGGUGUAGCGGUGAAAUGCGCAGAUAUCUGGGGGAAGGCCGGCGGCGAAGGCGCCCUUCUGGGAAACUCCUGACACUGAGGCGCGAAAGCGUGGGGAGCAAACAGG
rnacentral:rRNA from 1 species